UAGCUCUACUGUGAGAUUGGACCACACAAGCUAGACACCAUUUGCAUCAGUGAGCCUGUCACUGGUUCACCUGUUGUACCACUUUUGGCUUGCCUUUUCCACUAAGCCAAAUGGGCUCAUCAUUUGGAAAACAUGUAAUCAAAAUCAUAAACAGAGUCUGGCUCACAACAGCUCCAGCAACAAAACAGACAUUACAUACACAGAAGUCACUUAUAAUUAACCAAGACAGGAUGAAAAGCAGCCGUGAUGCAAAAUAAAGUAAAUCAGUUCUGGUUAUCAUUGUGUUCAAUGACGUAUCAAAGCAUGUAACCACACUCACCUUCAGUACAGCGGCAAUCACAAAGAUAGACUGUCGGCUCAUCGGAACAUCCUGGAUUCCUGAGUCCAGUUUGUCUCUCAGCUCCCUGCAGGCUUUGGCCCCAGCAGAGCGCCGGAAAAUUCCCCUUGUGAAUGGCCCCUCUUGGAACAGAAAGACUAGCAUGUCCUGCAGAGAGAGAAAAUAAAAUCUGAUAUACAUUAUGGACUAUAUUAUUUACUGAAAAUUCCAGAUGUGGAAAGGAAUUCCCAUUACCUUGCCCUGAGAACUGUCAUUCCAACAACUGUAUAUCAAAUGCUCAUCAAUGGUCACAUUCAUGUAUUCUUAACAGUCCAUCAGUGUUAAAUCACUUAUUCAGUAGAGGUAUGAUGCUUGAUAAAGAAAGACUCAAGUAUGUACAUUAAAAUAGCUGUAAAUAUGUAUUUUAAAAAAGAACAGUGUAUGACGGAUGAAGUGAGUUACCUCUAUCUUUUAAUAAUCAUUUCACAAUCUGUAGCUAAAUGUAGUUUUCUUUGUUAUUGUUUGAUUGGUCAGAAGGUGUGCAUUAUUUUCACAUAUCAAAAUGACUCGGAAAGUAGCUCUGCCUCUAACCAUCAUGAACUGCAGGUUAAAAUGAAUGCUCAAGCAAUACAUUACUGCUAUACUUUAAUACAUUAUUCCUUCAAGGGGAACUGACUCACGCUGUAUUACAGUUCAAUAAAGUUCACUAGUUUUACUCAUCAUCAGAAAACAUUUUCUCCACAGUUAAAAUGCCUAGGGUUAGAGUUAGGGUUAGGAACCAGGUCUUCAUACACACAGACAUUAAUUUUUUAUUUAGAGCAGUGAAAUACUAUUAAAAGGUUCAUUUAUACAGUUUACACAUUGUUUUUUUUUUUUUAUUUGAGUGGAUUUUGAUAUUAAUUAAUAUACACAGCCACAGAUAUUAGAUGCAGCAAAAAUUUUCAUACUGCAUAAAACCAUAAAAGCUAACAUAUUGUAAGGUAAUAUAUUAAACCAGCAAAUCACAGAGGUAAUAUCAUGCAUUAUUAUAAACUAUAAUGUUUCAGAAUGUAUAAAAUUACACAAUAUUAUAAACUGGAAUUUUUCAAUAGGGCCUAUAUUUAUUUACCUAUAGUACAGUUCUCUUGAAAUAGUUAGCUUUUUCAUUUUUAAUAAAUGCCUAGUGCAUUAUAAAUGUAAAAAUUUGGCUUAUUUUCACAAAUUCAUUGCAUGCCUGGAGUUUAUGAUGUUUGUUCAUGACUUUUAUGUGUCUGAACAUUAUGAGAAUGAUUCCUACACUCACCAUGAUUGGUUUGGGAAGACUGUUAUCCUUGCAUACCAUGCAGAGGGGCAGGCCAAAGAGCUUAUCAGUUGUUGAUAAAUGGGGUGAUAAGGGAGGAUCAUCCAGGUGAUUUGACGAGCCACGCCAAAAAGCCCAGUUGAUGAGAGACCGCCGUCUUUUGAACGGCUUCUGGUCUGGAUCAAC